rnacentral:rRNA from 1 species
AUGACGGCGUGCCUCCGCGACCUCGCGGAUAGUGAUGAUCACAAUGAACAAACUAGGACUUGGAUGAAACAAGUGAGGGAGGUCGCGUUCGAUGUGGAGGACUGUAUGGACAGGUUCUGCCAUCACCUCAGCAAGCACCAUGGAGACCGUCAAGGACUCCUGGAAUAUCUGAACAGGAUGUUCAACAUGGUGCGGACAUUAAGCGUGCGGCACAAGGUGGCGACCGAUAUCCAGGGCCUCAAAUCUCGUGCCCAGAAAGUGAGCGACCGGAAGCAAAGGUACACAUACACUCUACACGAGGCUGGACGGUCGAGGAAAGGGCUUGAUUCUCCGUACAGCCACCCCGACAACCUGGAGCGCUGGCUGCCUGCAAUCCGUGGUGACGGGUCCGGACUAGUCGGGAUGGGCAACAUGACUGAUGCCGUGGUCGAGCUGCUCAACAAUGAGCAACGCCAGGCGGCGGCAGGUCACCGAGUGCUGUCCAUAGUGGGGUUCGGUGGCCUUGGCAAGACCACCCUCGCGACGACUGUCUACAACACUCCAAAGUUGGGCGGCAUCCAGUGCCGCGCUUUUGUUCCGGUGUCCCAGACAUACGACGUCCGUUCUCUUCUUGAGUCCAUGCUCAAGCAGCUUUCGGCCUCAGCUGAAAAAGAUAAAAAUGAUGAUCCCCUCAAGAACAUUAAAGACUGGAACAAAAGACAGUUAUCUGACAAUAUUAAAAAACAGUUGGAUGGCAAGAGGUACUUGAUCGUUCUGGAUGACGUCUGGCGAGCAGCUGCAUGGGAUCAGCUAAAUGUAGCUAUUCCUCGUGAUAAUAAUAAGGGCAGCAUAAUAAUUACUACACGCAGUCAUGAGGUAGCCAAGAAUUGCUGCACCUCUCCCAAUGAUCCUGUCUAUGAAAUGAAGCGGUUACAGGAGGGUGACUCAGAGAAGCUAUUCUUCAAGACAGUGUUUGAGUCAGGGAAAUGUCCGGCCGACCUGCUGAAUGUCUCAAAGGACAUAUUGGCAAGGUGCAAUGGUCUACCUCUAGCUAUAGUGAGCAUAGGACGAAUGCUAGCUCGGAGGCAAAACCAGACAUCGGAAGACGAGGCAGGGCCAUCUCAGCGUCUGCCGCCUUCAACGUGA